UACGGGAGGCAGCAGUGGGGAAUAUUGCACAAUGGGCGCAAGCCUGAUGCAGCCAUGCCGCGUGUAUGAAAAAGGCCUUCGGGUUGUAAAGUACUUUCAGUCGUGAGGAAGGUGUUAAGGUUAAUAACCUUAGCAAUUGACGUUAGCGACAGAAGAAGCACCGGCUAACUCCGUGCCGGCAGCCGCGGUAAUACGGAGGGUGCGAGCGUUAAUCGGAAUUACUGGGCGUAAAGGGCACGCAGGCGGUUAAUUAAGUUGGAUGUGAAAUCCCCGGGCUUAACCUGGGAAUGGCAUUCAAGACUGGUUAGCUAGAGUCUUGUAGAGGGGGUAGAAUUCCAUGUGUAGCGGUGAAAUGCGUAGAGAUGUGGAGGAAUACCGGUGGCGAAGGCGGCCCCUGGACAAAGACUGACGCUCAUGUGCGAAAGCUGGGGAGCAAACAGGGAUUAGAUACC
rnacentral:rRNA from 1 species